rnacentral:rRNA from 1 species
GACGAACGCUGGCGGCGUGCCUAAUACAUGCAAGUAGAACGCUGAAGGAGGAGCUUGCUUCUCUGGAUGAGUUGCGAACGGGUGAGUAACGCGUAGGUAACCUGCCUGGUAGCGGGGGAUAACUAUUGGAAACGAUAGCUAAUACCGCAUAAUAGUAGAUGUUGCAUGACAUUUGCUUAAAAGGUGCAAUUGCAUCACUACCAGAUGGACCUGCGUUGGAUUAGCUAGUUGGUGAGGUAACGGCUCACCAAGGCAACGAUACAUAGCCGACCUGAGAGGGUGGUCGGCCACACUGGGACUGGGACACGGCCCAGACGCCUACGGGAGGCAGCAGUAGGGAAUCUUCGGCAAUGGACGGAAGUCUGACCGAGCAACGCCGCGGGAGUGAAGAAGGUUUUCGGAUCGUAAAGCUCUGUUGUAAGGGAAGAACGAGUGUGAGAGUGGAAAGUUCACACUGUGACGGUAUCUUACCAGAAAGGGACGGCUAACUACGUG